rnacentral:rRNA from 1 species
GCAGCAGCCGCGGUAAUACAGAGGGUGCGAGCGUUAAUCGGAUUUACUGGGCGUAAAGCGUGCGUAGGCGGCUUCUUAAGUCGGAUGUGAAAUCCCUGAGCUUAACUUAGGAAUUGCAUUCGAUACUGGGAAGCUAGAGUAUGGGAGAGGAUGGUAGAAUUCCAGGUGUAGCGGUGAAAUGCGUAGAGAUCUGGAGGAAUACUGAUGGCGAAGGCAGCCAUCUGGCCUAACACUGACGCUGAGGUACGAAAGCAUGGGGAGCAAACAGGAUUAGAUACCCCCGUAGUCCCUGUCUCUUAUAC